AUUGAACGCUGGCGGCAUGCUUUACACAUGCAAGUCGAACGGCAGCGCGGGCUUCGGCCUGGCUGCGAGUGGCGAACGGGUGAGUAAUGCAUCGGAACGUGCCCAGUAGUGGGGGAUAGCCCGGCGAAAGCCGGAUUAAUACCGCAUACGACCUGAGGGUGAAAGCGGGGGACCGAAAGGCCUCGCGCUUUUGGAGCGGCCGAUGUCGGAUUCGCUAGUUGGUGGGGUAAAGGCUUACCAAGGCGACGAUCCGUAGCUGGUCUGAGAGGACGAUCAGCCACACUGGGACUGAGACACGGCCCAGACUCCUACGGGAGGCAGCAGUGGGGAAUUUUGGACAAUGGGGGCAACCCUGAUCCAGCCAUGCCGCGUGCGGGAAGAAGGCCUUCGGGUUGUAAACCGCUUUUGUUCGGGAAGAAAUCCUCUGGGCUAAUACCCCGGGGGGAUGACGGUACCGGAAGAAUAAGCACCGGCUAACUACGUG
rnacentral:rRNA from 1 species